rnacentral:ncRNA from 2 species
AUAGUGUAACGAGGGAGCCCAUGUUAUGGGCUGAGAGUGGGCUAGUAAGCACCUGACCUCUUGACCUGAUCGGGGUAAUGCCCGCGUAGGGAGGUAUUUAAGCGCACCU